GCGAACGCUGGCGGCAGGCCUAACACAUGCAAGUCGAACGAACUCUUCGGAGUUAGUGGCGGACGGGUGAGUCACACGUGGGAACGUGCCUUUAGGUUCGGAAUAACUCAGGGAAACUUGUGCUAAUACCGAAUGUGCCCUUCGGGGGAAAGAUUUAUCGCCUUUAGAGCGGCCCGCGUCUGAUUAGCUAGUUGGUGAGGUAAAGGCUCACCAAGGCGACGAUCAGUAGCUGGUCUGAGAGGAUGAUCAGCCACAUUGGGACUGAGACACGGCCCAAACUCCUACGGGAGGCAGCAGUGGGGAAUCUUGCGCAAUGGGCGAAAGCCUGACGCAGCCAUGCCGCGUGAAUGAUGAAGGUCUUAGGAUUGUAAAAUUCUUUCACCGGGGACGAUAAUGACGGUACCCGGAGAAGAAGCCCCGGCUAACUUCGUG
rnacentral:rRNA from 1 species